GCGAAAAAUUAUACUAUUUAUACAUGGUUAAAAUAUUUUUUUAUGUAUAAAUAGUAAAUGUCGAACCCCCUUCGACUAGUUCGUGUGUCUACUUUUUCAGAUUUUGAACCCCUUUAUUAAAAAUCCUGGUUCCGCCACUGCUACACUGGAUUAAUAUUCUCCAAACAUCUGUAUUCCUCUCUAGUGCAGUGCAGGAGCACUAUGGAACCAAUAUUGCCCAUCAUGUUUCUCUUUCAAGUAAUGAAGAAUAACAAGAUCCUUCUAUUUCAAUAACCAGCCCCUGUUGCUUUCCCAAAGAAGUUGCUAUAAACGUUGAUUUGAGAAUAUAUAGGCUUAACACUCAAAUGGACACUUGUACUUGCAUAAAUAUCUGUCCCGUGCCCCGCAACUCCACAUGUUCUCAAUUCUCAUCCAGACAUGCAAACUUGAUCAAAACGCAUGCUCUCAGUGCCUCUAACCUCGCGUGUUAUUCAAUUGCACUAGCAUCAGCAUCCACGCCAGAGUUAUAAUGACACAACAUCAUUUAUCUUUCUGCAUUAUUAAAAAAAAUCCAAAUCUCUUUCUCUGCCAUCACCAUCACACACCACCACCAUCAUACACCACCACCUGUUUUUCUCUUAUGUAAAUUUCAGUAAAAGAUCAACUUUUGUUAAAGAAACCCAACAAACUCUCACCCCCUUCACUUGCUUACACAUAUGCAACAAAUAACUCAAGUCUCCCUUCCCGUUCAUCUCAUUCACACCAUAAAUUACCAUCAAAGACCCGUUAUUCUUUUCCAUCUUCCUCAAAACCCACCUAGAAAAGAACAUGGGAAGUACUCCCUCCAUGCCCACUUAGGUGUUCCCUAUAUAUUUUUUGAAUACAAUAAGAGUUCAAUUUUUUAGAGGCACAAUUUUAUCACAGCAUGAAUGCUCAUAUUCUAAAAGGUUCUUAACAGAAAUCAUAGUGGAUCUCUACAGCAUCCAAAAGUCCAUUGAAACUCAACCUCGAAUUAUCUGAUUAGUUGCUUAAAAUUUACUGAUCACCUAAGAAUUUGAAUUAGAACCUCUUUCCCGAACAGAAAAGUAUUGCCCCAGCCCCAGAAUUAUGGCCGACGGCAUAUUCUUCCUGUACUAAGCCUAGCUUCACACCAACACGAUAUGAGGAGCCAUGACUUUCAUAUGACUGAGCAAUUUGAGUUUUGAGUAUCCUUGCUUAUUUGCUCUUUUCUUGUAUAUGUCUAUGCUAGUUAUUGUUUGAGUUCUUUAUUUGUUGCAGUGAGAGACAUGAGUUCUUAAGGAAGAAAAAUUCCAGGGAGUGUUUGGUGUGAGAGAGCAGGUAAGAGAGAGCAUUGACAUUGUGAAGAUGGCGAGAAGGCAGUCUGAACAAGGAGUUGACCUGAAUGGUGAAGCUCUUUUUCAAUGGUAUUAUUGGAAGAAGGGAAAGAAAAAGUGAAAAUAAAAGCAUAAAAGAUGUCUUUUUCUUAAACUGUUUAUUGUUUAAUUUUUAGAUUCCACGCUCCUGAAAGUCAUGUAUAUCACUCGCUUUGUCCAACUCAAUUAUAUAAUUGCCACAUAAGCUCAGUCGAUGGUCAGAGGCAUUUUAAACAAUAGAUUCAUACAUGUCUAGGUGUUUGGGUGAGAAUUCGUAGAGUUGGACAGCCAGUAACAGAGCUCUGUGCAAGUAUGGAUGUCUAAUUGGAUGUUAGUCCAAUAAUAUAAGCAUAUUAUAGUGACAUUUGUGUAGGUUCAAUAGCAUGUCGACUUGAGAAGAAGGAAGGUGGAGCUGUUUGUGUUUAUAUAAUGACUUUGGGUGUUUUAGCUCCAUAUCGUGGUCUGGGUAUUGGUAAGUGAUCAACUUAUCUUCAGAGUGAAUAUUAACAUUAAACUUUACUUACUUUGUUGCAUGUUUACAUCAAAACAUUUGUGUAUUGAUGGAACCCCCAACUCUCACUACAUCUUUUCUGUUUAUCCAUUUUUUUAAUCAGUAUCUUUUCUUGUAAUCUUUGAUAUCUGUUUAAAUGCAUAUUUUGGCUCCAAAGUCCAAACUCUGAGAUCUGUGAAAAAAUAUCGAACUUUUCUUUUGAAGAUGAGUAGCUGCAGGGAAUCC